UACGGGGGGAGCAAGCGUUGUUCGGAUUUACUGGGCGUAAAGGGCGCGUAGGCGGCCAGCACAAGUCAGUUGUGAAAUCUCCGAGCUUAACUCGGAAAGGUCAACUGAUACUGUGCGGCUAGAGUGCGGAGGGGGCAACUGGAAUUCUUGGUGUAGCGGUGAAAUGCGUAGAUAUCAAGAGGAACACCUGCGGCGAAGGCGGGUUGCUGGGCCGACACUGACGCUGAGGCGCGAAAGCCAGGGGAGCGAACGGG
rnacentral:rRNA from 1 species